rnacentral:rRNA from 1 species
UACAGAGGGGGCAAGCGUUGUUCGGAAUUACUGGGCGUAAAGGGCGCGUAGGCGGCACGGCAAGUCAGGAGUGAAAGCCCUGGGCUCAACCCGGGAACUGCUUUUGAAACUGCCGAGCUAGAGUGCGGAAGGGGCAACUGGAAUUCCCAGUGUAGCGGUGAAAUGCGUAGAUAUUGGGAAGAACACCUGAGGCGAAGGCGGGUUGCUGGGCCGACACUGACGCUGAGGCGCGAAAGCCAGGGGAGCAAACGGG